AUGGUCACCCGGCUCCUCUGCUGUGUGAUUCUUUGUCUCCUGGGAGUAGAGCCCAUGGAUGCUGAAGUCAUCCAGACACCCAGGCAUGAAGUGACGGAGACGGGACAAGCAGUUACUCUGAGAUGUCAGCCAAUUUCAGGACACACUGCCCUUUUCUGGUAUAGACAGACUGUGGUGCAGGGCCUGGAGUUGCUGAUUUACUUCAGCAACCAGGCUCCCAUAGAUGACAAAGGGAUGCCCAAGGAACGAUUCUCAGCUCAGAUGCCUAACGCCUCAGUCUCCACUCUGAAGAUCCAGCCCACAGAACCCAGGGACUCAGCACUCUACCUCUGUGCCAGCAGCUCAGCCACAGCGCUGCAGGAUCCCCCCCUCCCUGUGCACAAACCCUGGUGCUUCCCCUUCUCCUUCAGCUCCCAGCAGUUCUCAGCAGCCCUUCUAGCCUCCUCCCCCAUCACAGGAAGGACGUGGGCUUGA